rfam:Ictidomys tridecemlineatus contig028825, whole genome shotgun sequence.
GUGAUUGCUUCAGCAGCACAUAUAUUAAAAAUUGGAAUGAUACAGAGAGGAUAGCAUGGCCCCUGCACGAGAAUGACAAUGGCCCCUGCACAAGGAUGACAUAUGAAG